UACGUAGGGAGCGAGCGUUGUCCGGAAUCAUUGGGCGUAAAGCGCGCGUAGGCGGCCCGAUAAGUCCGUUGUGAAAGUCAAAGGCUCAACCUUUGAAUGCCGAUGGAUACUGUCGGGCUAGAGUCCGGAAGAGGCGAGUGGAAUUCCUGGUGUAGCGGUGGAAUGCGCAGAUAUCAGGAGGAACACCAAUAGCGAAGGCAGCUCGCUGGGACGGUACUGACGCUAAGGCGCGAAAGCGUGGGAGCGAACAGG
rnacentral:rRNA from 1 species